AGUUUAAUAGUUUAAUAAAAACAAUGACUUUGUAAAUCAAAAAUAGAAAAUUCUUUAAACUA
rnacentral:tRNA from 1 species